GAUUAACGCUGGCGGCGUGCCUAACACAUGCAAGUCGAACGAGGUAGCAAUACCUAGUGGCAGACGGGUGAGUAACGCGUGGUCAACCUACCGUUGAGUGGGGGAUAACUAGCCGAAAGGUUAGCUAAUACCGCAUACGUCUCCGAGGGGCAUCCCUUGGCGAUAAAAGGAGCAAUCCGCUCGAUGACGGGACCGCGUCCCAUUAGCUAGAUGGUGGGGUAACGGCCUACCAUGGCACCGANGGGUAGCUGGUUUGAGAGAGCGACCGGCCACACUGGGACUGAGACACGGCCCAGACUCCUACGGGAGGCAGCAGUGGGGAAUCUUGCGCAAUGGGCGAAAGCCUGACGCAGCGACGCCGCGUGAGGGAUGACGGCC
rnacentral:rRNA from 1 species